rnacentral:rRNA from 1 species
GAACGAACGCUGGCGGCAGGCCUAACACAUGCAAGUCGAACGGAUCCUUCGGGAUUAGUGGCAGACGGGUGAGUAACGCGUGGGAAGCUACCUUGUGGUAGGGAACAACAGUUGGAAACGACUGCUAAUACCCUAUGAGCCCUAUGGGGGAAAGAUUUAUCGCCAUGAGAUGUGCCCGCGUUAGAUUAGCUAGUUGGUAAGGUAAUGGCUUACCAAGGCGACGAUCUAUAGCUGGUCUGAGAGGAUGAUCAGCCACACUGGGACUGAGACACGGCCCAGACUCCUACGGGAGGCAGCAGUGGGGAAUAUUGGACAAUGGGGGCAACCCUGAUCCAGCCAUGCCGCGUGAGUGAUGACGGCCUUAGGGUUGUAAAGCUCUUUCAGCAGUGAAGAUAAUGACAUUAACUGCAGAAGAAGCCCCGGCUAACUUCGUGCCAGCAGCCGCGGUAAUACGAAGGGGGCUAGCGUUGUUCGGAAUCACUGGGCGUAAAGCGUACGUAGGCGGACUGAUCAGUCAGGGGUGAAAUCCCGGGGCUCAACCCCGGAACUGCCUUUGAUACUGUCAGUCUUGAGAUCGAGAGAGGUGAGUGGAACUCCGAGUGUAGAGGUGAAAUUCGUAGAUAUUCGGAAGAACACCAGUGGCGAAGGCGGCUCAACUGGCUCGAUACUGACG